GCAUAUUUGGCGUAAGUGGUCUGCGCGGCUGUUUGAAGCACAGCAGGAUCAGGUUCGAUUCCUGGGAUAUGCACCA
rnacentral:tRNA from 1 species